GCGCGCCGCAUCCAAUCCUGGCCCAAUCCCACGCUCAGCCCCUUUCCCUUCCAAUCUCCAAUCGCCACACCCUCUCUCCUGCCGCACGAACCCUAGCAAACGCCAGCCGCCGCCCUCACUCCUCCCAACCGCCUCCAUGCUCUCUUCCUCCUCCUCCUCCACCCUCCCGCAUCUCAUCCAUCUCGCCGGAUCCAAGGCGUGGGAGCACGGAGGCGAGCUUCUACGGCGGCGGCGGGAGACUGAAGGCAAAGGGAGACCCCAUGGAUCCGUGUCCAGCCCUCUUCAUCUCGGUUCCCAUGGAUCUGAGGCUUGCGGGCACGGAGGCGUACAGCCCCGGCGGCGGCGGCAACUGCAGGCAAGGGGCAAUGGUGGCGCCGCUCGAUCUGAUCUGCAGGAGAGGGAGAAGAUGAGAGGGAGAGAGAGAUGGAAGAAGAGGAGGAAGAAAGGCAGAGGAAGAGAAGAGGGAAGUGCGGCGUCGGCCGGGCGAGGGUCACUGGCGCGGUUUGUGGUCGCAAAAACGGCAUCGAAGUCCACCACUAUGAGCUGCUCGAACCGUAUGCACCCGAUGGCUUCCUUUCCCCUUCUGGUGGACCCUCCCUGUUUUAUGCAACUUUGAGAAUGAAGACAAUGACGGGGAGGAGGGCCUGCCUUUUCCUCGGAGAGGAGGUCAACCGUUGGAGGUUUUUUGAGGGAAUGAAGCAAAACAGCAGGAAGGAAAUAGAGUGGGUAGUGUGUCAUCAUCCACACAGUCUGCCUUCCAUUGGCAUGUGCACAACAGGGACCAUGCAUUGGAACAUCGAAUUCAACCAGCUUACAAGUUGAAGAGAAGGUUACGUAUGCUCUUUGUGAGCAGUACUGAGUAAUCUAAUGAUCUGCUCCAUGCAAUCUAAGAAAAAUAAAUGUGCAAGCCAUUUCUGAUAGAAGGUCUGGGUAUCAACUAUUUUUGUUUGUGUCUACAAGCUUUUGACUUUCUUGCCCAGUCUAUUGUUUAUUUGCAAUAUUAGAUACUCUUGCCAUUUCUUGUGAAUAUUUUUUCGUUUGACGUACUCUCAAUAUACAUCAUAUUAACUCUAUAUUGCAGAAUUUUUGAACAAUCAGUACUUCACCGCGGUAAUCUACAGGAAGGCAAGGAUAACUAUAUUAAACAUUUCACGAGAUCCUUCCAAUUAUUGGCACAAACUCCUUUUCAAGAUAUUACGAGUGUGGUUUACUACCGGAGAUUAUCAGAUGGAAAGAACGUAUAUCCUUCAUCUUUAUUUAGAUGUUUAAUUAGAUGCACAAGCGUACAUGAUUCUGUGCCAUAUCCCUUUUCUAUCCAGCUGCUGCAUUCUUUUCUUUCGUAUGUGUUGUCAUGGUCAUUAGUUUAGAUUGUGUUAAUAUUUAUGAUAUGGCCCAGAGUUGUGUUCUGUUUUUGCUCAUGCUUGCUGCUUGCAUGAUUGAACAUCUGGUGUUUUGUCUGAUCAACCAUUUGUGUGCAGUAGUAUUCAUUUUAUCCUUGAUCAUGUGCGUGUGUACAUCUAUUGAAGUAGUUUUAAUUGAUAUAAAAAGUUUUCAUUUAUUGCAGCAAUUUGACUUUAACUAGCCAUAGUCUACAAGGAACAUUAGGAGUAGACUAUAACUUUCCAUCUGGAAAGUGUUUUCUAUGCAAAAUUGGUUAGCAUUAUCUCUAGAUACAACGAUUACUAUUCAAUAGAUAAUUUACAUGUUGCCGCAAACUGAUGUUUCUUCAACUGUACAGACUGAUGGUGAUGAUAUAUACUUAUAUGCCCAUUAUCGAGUGAUAUAUAGCUAUUGUUCUCUACCAAUGGUAUGUUUGCAACUGCAACCCAUAUUCCAAUGACGGCCACAACCGAGACAACAUGCAUCUGCGGGGAGAAUCACCACGACGGACUGCAUCUGCCCAGACGAUUGUUGCAACGGCCACGACAAAGUGCAUCUCUCAAUUCCGGGAUCAGCAUGCUGGAUGAAUCCUCCUUGCCUGUUAAGUUGCAACGGUGCAACCAAACACCAUGGAGGCUUAGGGACGGUGAAUCUGCAUCGACAGUGAUGGAUGGAAAUUGCUCGCCCUCCUUCCUCCAUAAACCACGGGGACCUUGUAUAGUUGUAUUAGCCUCCCCAUCUAUCCGUCAGGAAGCCCUGACUUUCCCUGCUAUUGCUGUCGAAAAUGCUACCCUUGCAGAACAUGACCUGAACUUAAGUAUGGCACAUGGAGCUUCAGGUAACAAAUCUGAAAGAACCAGAAUUAAUGUAUGACAUGUCUUUUGUCACAACGCCUCUCUCUUAUUUUUUAUGACCUGCUACAUGUUCAAUGGAGUGUACCAACUACCAAGUGCUAGAAGCAUCAUUAUAGAUUAAUUAUGUACCAGAUCACUUUGCUUCAGCCUUUUCGGAGCAUUUUUCUAUAUUACAUACAUGUUCGUGCAACACUGCCAAAUACAUAUAGCCGGGAAAUGCAGAUGAACGGGGUUGGUUUUAAUACACUCAUAAAGAAAGCAAGUGUUCCUCUGUUUUCAAGUAAAUUAUUUUUCACUGACCAUAAUCAUAUUCAGUUCUGUUACUUGUAGAUGAAGGUGCUUACUGAUUCACUCUUUAUGCAACACUCAUCUUUUAUACCUGAAUGUGAAGAUAAUAUAUUUGAAGCCUCAAAUGGGGAUGGCAUUUGAAGGACUGAAGGCUGCAGAGUAGUUCUACAAGUCUUAUGCACACCACUCUAGUUUUAGAGUUUGUAUUGGACAACAAAAGAAGUUAGAAAAUGAGGUCAUACACAAUAAAAGUUACUGUACAUGUUUGGUAAUGAUACCUACGAGAUACUAUCAUGGGUCGAGCACCAGUCAUUGCCUUGUGUCACCAGAUAAGCUUCAUUUAAUCAAAUCAAAUUGUUGAAGUAGUGAGAGGGCAAAGAACACAUUGUACACAUGCAGCAAAGCAAGCAGAGCUCAUUAAUACAAUUUUAUUAGUUUUACGGAAUUUUGAAUUCUAUGUAAUGGAUGAGAGGUUGUGUUUAUUCUCCAACUAUUUGUCCUAUUUCUAUCACAUUUGAUGCA